UACAGAGGGUGCGAGCGUUGUCCGGAAUCACUGGGCGUAAAGGGCGCGUAGGUGGCGACCCAAGUCCGUGGUGAAAGCUCGUCGCUUAACGACGAGUCGGCCACGGAGACUGGGUGGCUCGAGCACUGUAGGGGCAGAUGGAAUUCCGGGUGUAGCGGUGGAAUGCGUAGAGAUCCGGAAGAACACCAGAGGCGAAGGCGGCCUACUGGGCUGCACCUGACGCUGAGCCGCGAAAGCCAGGGGAGCGAACGGG
rnacentral:rRNA from 1 species